UAAUACCUACUGUAACACAGUGAAAUGCUUGUGUUUUUAGCUCCAUCAGGGCAGUAAUAGCUACUGUAACACAGUGAAAUGCUUGUGUUUUUAGCUCCAUCAGGGCAGUAAUAUCUACUGUAACACAGUGAAAUGCUUGUGUUUCUAGCUCCAUCAAGGCAAUAAUACCUACUGUAACACAGUGAAAUGCUUGUGUUUUUAGCUCCAUCAGGGCAGUAAUAUCUACUGUAACACAGUGAAAUGCUUGUGUUUUUAGCUCAAUCAGGGCAGUAAUAGCUACUGUAACACAGUGAAAUGCUUGUGUUUUUAGCUCCAUCAGGGCAGUAAUAUCUACUGUAACACAGUGAAAUGCUUGUGUUUUUAGCUCCAUCAGGGCAGUAAUAUCUACUGUAACACAGUGAAAUGCUUGUGUUUUUAGCUCCAUCAGGGCAGUAAUACAAAACAAUACAGACACAUCCAAAAAAUAAAAAGGAAUUAAGAAAUAUCAGAACGACCAUGGUCAGAGUCCGGAAUAAAUAUAUAUGUAUAUGAUGGUAUAUAUAGACAGCAUGGACAGUAUAUGAGUAGAAAAGGUGUGUACAACAGUAGUUAUAUAGGAUGAGCCUUGACUAGAAUACAUUACAUCCAUAUAAAGUGGGUAAAACAGUAUGUAAACAUUAUUAAAGUGACCAGUGUUCAAUGACUAGGGCAGCAGUCACUAAGGUGCAGGGUAGAGUAUUGGGUGGUAGCCGGGCUAGUAACAGUGACUAGGGGCGGCAGCGUAGCCUAGUGGUUAAAGUGACUAAGUUCAGGGCAGGGUACUGGGCGGAGGCAGUCUAGUGGGGACAGUCUGAUAGCCUGGAGAUAAAAGCAGUGUUUCAGUCUCUCGUUCCCUGCUGUGAUGCACCUGUAAUGUCUCCACCUUCUAGAUGGUAGUGAGUGAACAGGCUCAGCUGGCUGAGGUCCUUGAUAUUCUUCUUGGCCUUCCUGUGACACCUGUGCUGUAGAUGUCCUGGCAAGGGUGCCCCCGGAAAUACGUUGGGCUAACUGCACCACCCUCUAGAGAGCCCUGCGGUUGCAGACGGUGCAAUAGCAGUACCAGGUGGUGAUACAGUCCGGAAGGAUGCUCUCAAUGGUGCAUCUGUAGGUUUAUGAAGGUCUUUGGGGCCAAGCCAAAUUUCUUCAGCCUCUUGAGGUGGAUCUCAAUAAUUACAUCUAGGCCGAACUGUAUUGACAGUACAUCAAUCAUGGCUGUAUUAUACUAGCUUUGAACUUUGUAAAACACAAUUGAUGGAUGGGGUCAAAUUGAAGAUUCAUGUUUAAUUUUUUAUUUUUUUAUUUCACCUUUAUUUAACCAGAUAGGCUAGUUGAGAACAAGUUCUCAUUUGCAACUGUGACCUGGCCAAGAUAAAGCUAAGCAGUUUGACACAUACAACAACACAGAGUUACACAUGGAAUAAACAAACAUACAGUCAAUAAUACAGUAGAAAAAGUAUACAUACAGUGUGUGCAAAUGAGGUAGGACAAGGGAGGCAAGGCAAUAUAAAUAGACCAUGGUGGCGAAGUAAUUACAAUAUAGCAAUUAAACACUGGAAUGGUAGAAUGUGCAGAAGAUGAAUGUGCAAGUAGAGAUACUGGGGUGCAAAGGAGCAAGAUAAAUAAAUAAAUACAGCAUGGGGAUGAGGUAGUUGGAUGGGCUAUUUACAGAUGGGCUAUGCACAGGUUUAGUGAUCUGUGAGCUGCUCUGACAGCUGGUGCUUAAAGCUUCAGUGAUUUUUGCAGUUCGUUCCAGUCAUUGGCAGCAGAGAACUGGAAGGCGGUCAAAAUAAGAAUUGGCUUUGGGGGUGACCAGUGAGACAUACCUGCUGGAGCGCGUGCUACAGGUAGGUGCUGCUAUGGUGACCAGUGAGCUGAGAUAAGGGGAGACUUUACCUAGCAGGGUCUUGUAGAUGACCUGGAGCCAGUGGGUUAGCUGACAAGUAUGAAGCGAGGGCCAGCCAACGAGAGUGUACAAGUCGCAGUGGUGGGUAGUAUAUGGGGCUUUGGUGACAAAACGGAUGGCACUGUGAUAGACUGCAUCCAAUUUUUUGAGUAGAGUGUUGGAGGCUAUUUUGUAAAUGACGUGGCCGAAGUCGAGGAUCGGUAGGAUGGUCAGUUUUACGAGGGUAUGUUUGGCAGCAUGAGUGAAGGAUGCUUUGUUGCGAAAUAGGAAGCCGAUUCUAUAUUUAUUUUUGGGAUUGGAGAUGCUUAAUGUGAGACUGGAAGGAGAGUUUACAGUCUAACCAGACACCUAGGUAUUUGUAGCUGUCCACAUAUUCUAAGUCAGAACUGUCCAGAGUAGUGAUGCUGGACGGGCGAGCAGAUGCGGGCAGUGAUCAGUUGAAGAGCAUGCAUUUAGUUUUACUAGCAUUUAAGAGCAGUUGGAGGUCACGCAAGGAGAGUUGUAUGGCAUUGAAGCAAGUUGUUAUGGGUGUAAGAUGGCACAGUGAUGCCAUCUGUUGGUAAAUGUUCAUUACUGCAAAUCUUGUGUUUUACCGGGGUGCUUGAGAUACCCGGAUGUGUUGUCAUGUAAUGAACAAGACUGGUUACUCGCAUCAAUGCCUCUGUCUCGUCAUUUAACAUUCAAACACUCGUCUAGAGGUUAGUUAAUACAGUAUCCAAGGAGGGGCCAGAAGUAUACAGAAUGGUGUCGUCUGUGUAGAGGUGGAUCAGAGAAUCACCAGCAGAAAGAGCGACAUCAUUGAUGUAUACAGAGAAGAGAGUCAGCCCGAGAAUUGAACCCUGCGCCCCCAUAGAGACUGUCAGAGGACCCGGACAACAGGCCCUCCGAUUUGACACACUGAACUCUAUCAGAGAAGUAGUUGGUGAACCAGGCGAGGCAAUCAUUUGAGAAACCAAGGCUGUUGUCUGCCAAUAAGAAUGUGGUGAUUGACAGUCGAAAGCUUUGGCCAGGUCAAGGAAUACGGCUGCACAGUAUUAUUUCUCAUCGAUUGCGGUUAUGAUAUCGUUUAGGACCUUGAGCGUGGCUCGGAAACCAGAUUGCAUAGCGGAGAAGGAGGCGUAUUCCAUGGAAGCGAUUGUGGACGGACCCCUCUGAAGACUUUGUUCUAUCCGUUCGAAAUCUGGUGAUCUGAAGUUCCAUCAAUUUCAUUUUCCUCCGGAGAAAUUCGUUCUCCUUGUGGCUUUGGGACAUCUUCAGGUGUACAACCGCAUAGCCAUCGUCAACAACUUUGCAGAUUUCGGCUACAGCCGCGUUGGCUAGCACCUCCAUGAUUGAGGCUAUCUGCGCCUGGAACUCGACCACAGAACCCGACAUUGUCCCCCGACGCUUUUGGCCUCUUUUCAAUAUGAAAACAGUCUUUGUGUUUUCUUUAUUAUGAGUAUCUAGCAAGCUAUUCAAACAAAUACAAUAAUAUCAGAAACUAAACAUGGAUAGCUAGCUAGCUUUGUUUGUAGCUCGCUGGUGAGAUUAUUUUUCCUGUUCCUCAUCACAGUAAUGUAAUCAUAUACUGGACUUGAAAGUUGGACACCGCCACCUCCUGUAUAGGAGUGCUCCACAAUAACAACAAUGUUGUAGCUAUGUAAUAAACAUGUUUUCUGGUGUAAACAAUAUUUCACGAUUUUUCUAAAAUAAAGCAUUUAACUAUU